rnacentral:rRNA from 1 species
UAGGGAAUAUUGGGCAAUGGGCGAGAGCCUGACCCAGCCAUGCCGCGUGCAGGAAGAAGGCUUUCUGAGUCGUAAACUGCUUUUGACAGGGAAGAAUAAGCACUACGUGUAGUGCGAUGACGGUACCUGCAGAAUAAGCACCGGCUAACUCCGUGCCAGCAGCCGCGGUAAUACGGAGGGUGCGAGCGUUGUCCGGAUUUAUUGGGUUUAAAGGGUGCGUAGGCGGCCCGUUAAGUCCGGGGUGAAAGCCCGCUGCUCAACAGCGGAACUGCCCUGGAUACUGACGGGCUUGAGUACAGACGAGGUUGGCGGAAUGGACUGAGUAGCGGUGAAAUGCAUAGAUACAGUCCAGAACCCCGAUUGCGAAGGCAGCUGACUAGGCUGUUACUGACGCUGAGGCACGAAAGCGUGGGGAGCGAACAGG